CCUACGGGAGGCAGCAGUGAGGAAUAUUGGUCAAUGGGCGCGAGCCUGAACCAGCCAAGUAGCGUGAGUGAAGAAGUAUUUCGGUAUAUAAAGCUCUAUCAGCAGGGAAGAAAGAAAUGACGGUACCUGACUAAGAAGCCCCGGCUAACUACGUGCCAGCAGCCGCGGUAAUACGUAGGGGGCAAGCGUUAUCCGGAUUUACUGGGUGUAAAGGGAGCGUAGACGGCGAUGCAAGUCUGAAGUGAACGGCGGGGGCCCAACCCCCGGACUGCUUUGGAAACUGUAUGGCUGGAGUGCAGGAGAGGUAAGUGGAAUUCCUAGUGUAGCGGUGAAAUGCGUAGAUAUUAGGAGGAACACCAGUGGCGAAGGCGGCUUACUGGACUGUAACUGACGUUGAGGCUCGAAAGCGUGGGGAGCAAACAGGAUUAGAUACCCUGGUAGUC
rnacentral:rRNA from 1 species